rnacentral:rRNA from 1 species
GUGGGGAAUUUUGGACAAUGGGCGCAAGCCUGAUCCAGCAAUGCCGCGUGUGUGAAGAAGGCCUUCGGGUUGUAAACUGCUUUUGUACGGAACGAAACGGUCCUGGUUAAUACCUGGGGCUAAUGACGGUACCGUAAGAAUAAGCACCGGCUAACUACGUGCCAGCAGCCGCGGUAAUACGUAGGGUGCGAGCGUUAAUCGGAAUUACUGGGCGUAAAGCGUGCGCAGGCGGUGCUGUAAGACAGGCGUGAAAUCCCCGGGCUCAACCUGGGAAUUGCGCUUGUGACUGCAGUGCUGGAGUACGGCAGAGGGGGAUGGAAUUCCGCGUGUAGCAGUGAAAUGCGUAGAUAUGCGGAGGAACACCGAUGGCGAAGGCAGUCCCCUGGGCCUGUACUGACGCUCAUGCACGAAAGCGUGGGGAGCAAACAGGAUUAGAUACCCUGGUAGUCC